rnacentral:rRNA from 1 species
CGCGUAGGCGGGAAUGCAAGUCAGAUGUGAAAUACCAAGGCUUAACCUUGGAACUGCAUCUGAAACUGUAUUUCUUGAGUGUCGGAGAGGAAAGCGGAAUUCCCCGUGUAGCGGUGAAAUGCGUAGAUAUGGGGAGGAACACCGGUGGCGAAGGCGGCUUUCUGGACGAUAACUGACGCUGAGGCGCGAAAGCGUGGGUAGCAAACAGGAUUAGAUACCCUGGUAGUCCACGCUGUAAACGAUGGAUACUAGGUGUAGGAGGUAUCGACCCCUCCUGUGCCGCAGUUAACACAAUAAGUAUCCCACCUGGGGAGUACGGCCGCAAGGCUGAA